AUACGGAGGGUGCAAGCGUUAUUCGGAAUCACUGGGCGUAAAGGACGCGUAGGCGGGUUGGCAAGCCAGAUGUGAAAUCCUACAGCUUAACUGUAGAACUGCAUUUGAAACUGCUAACCUAGAGUAUGGGAGGGGGAGAUGGAAUUAGUGGUGUAGGGGUAAAAUCCGUAGAUAUCACUAGGAAUACCGAAAGCGAAGGCGAUCUCCUGGAACAUAACUGACGCUAAGGCGUGAAAGCGUGGGGAGCAAACAGGAUUAGAAACCCCAGUAGUCC
rnacentral:rRNA from 1 species